AUUACACACACAGGUUAUAUUAUACACACACAGGUUAUAUUAUACACACACAGGUUAUAUUAUACACACACAGGUUAUAUUAUACACACACAGGUUAUAUUACACACACACAGGUUAUAUUACACACACACAGGUUAUAUUACACACACAGGUUAUAUUAUACACACAGGUUAUAUUAUACACACACAGGUUAUAUUAUACACACAGGUUAUAUUAUACACACAGGUUAUAUUAUACACACAGGUUAUAUUAUACACACACAGGUUAUAUUAUACACACAGGUUAUAUUAUACACACACAGGUUAUAUUAUACACACAGGUUAUAUUAUACACACACAGGUUAUAUUAUACACACACAGGUUAUAUUAUACACACACACAGGUUAUAUUAUACACACACACAGGUUAUAUUACACACACACACACACAGGUUAUAUUACACACACAGGUUAUAUUAUACACACACAGGUUAUAUUACACACACACAGGUUAUAUUAUACACACACACAGGUUAUAUUACACACACACAGGUUAUAUUAUACACACACACACAGGUUAUAUUACACACACAGGUUAUAUUAUACACACACACACAGGUUAUAUUACACACACACACAGGUUAUAUUACACACACACACAAAACACACAGGUUAUAUUACACACACACACACAGGUUAUAUUAUACACACACACAGGUUAUAUUAUACACACACACAGGUUAUAUUAUACACACACACAGGUUAUAUUACACACACACACACACACACACACAGGUUAUAUUACACACACACACACAGGUUAUAUCACAC